rnacentral:rRNA from 1 species
UCCUACGGGGGGCAGCAGUAGGGAAUUUUCGUCAAUGGGCGCAAGCCUGAACGAGCAAUGCCGCGUGAACGAGGAAGGUCUUCGGAUCGUAAAGUUCUGUUGAAGGGGAAAAAGAGCGGAGAGAGGAAAUGCUUUCUGAUUGAUAUUACCCUUCGAGGAAGUCACGGCCAACUACGUGCCAGCAGCCGCGGGAAUACGUAGGUGGCGAGCGUUAUCCGGAAUGAUUGGGCGGAAAGGGUGCGUAGGCGGCCUGCUAAGUCUGGAGUGAAAGGUACCGGCUCAACGGGGACAGGCUCUGGAAACUG